rnacentral:rRNA from 1 species
CUUGCGCAAUGGGCGAAAGCCUGACGCAGCCAUGCCGCGUGAAUGAUGAAGGUCUUAGNAUUGUANANUUCUUUCACCGGGGACGNUAAUUACGGUACCAGGAGAAGAAGCCCCGGCUCACUUCGUGCCAGCAGACGCGGUAAUACGAAGGGGGCUAACGUUGCUCGGAAUUACUGGGCGUAAAGGGCGCGUAGGCGGACAUUUAAUUCAGGGGUGAAAUCCCAGAGCUCAACUCUGGAACUGCCUUGGAUACUGGGUGUCUUGAGUGUGAGAGAGGUAUGUGGAACUCCGAGUGUAGAGGUGAAAUUCGUAGAUAUUCGGAAGAACACCGGUGGCGAAGGCGACAUACUGGCUCAUUACUGACACUGAGGUGCGAAAGCGUGGGGAGCAAACAG